UACGUAGGGUGCAAGCGUUGUCCGGAAUUAUUGGGCGUAAAGAGCUCGUAGGCGGUGUGUCACGUCGGCCGUGAAAACCUGCAGCUUAACUGUGGGCGUGCGGUCGAUACGGGCAUCACUGGAGUUCGGCAGGGGAGACUGGAAUUCCUGGUGUAGCGGUGAAAUGCGCAGAUAUCAGGAGGAACACCGGUGGCGAAGGCGGUUCUCUGGGCCUUACCUGACGCUGAGGAGCGAAAGCGUGGGGAGCAAACAGG
rnacentral:rRNA from 1 species